CGCCGGGAGCCCGCGUGGAUGAGAUACUCUCGCUCACGGAUGAGCCCAAAUCAUUCAGGGAUGAGCAUCCCUCAUUCAUGGGUGGUUUUGGACAGCUUUAAUUCUCCUGCACUGAGAGGGGCCUUUCAGCAUUGUCUUCAAUCAGCAUUUUGAAUGAAGCGCUUAAUUGUGGCAAAAAUUCAUUGCAAUACACAGGACAUGGUCCUUCCUUUUGUGAUCCAUCAGCAGCUGAAGCGUUCCUGAAAGGAAACCUGUUGAACAUACAUGGUUAGAUUUUGAAUAAGUUAUUCUCAAAUCUAGUAGAGUAAUUACAGUGCCUAGAAAAGCUAGACACAUCAAAUGUAGCUCAGUUCCUGGAUGAAUACAUAUUUUUUGUGGGAUUUGAGAUCCCAUUUUAAAUAUUCAUCUCACUGUCCUUUUAAAGAAAUGUUUUACAAGAUUAAACAAAUGCCAAGCUAAUAAUUUCCUUCUUGUUAUGCCGAGUGCCACCCAAGUACUUUUUAAUAUCUUAAGACUUAACCUCAUUUGGAAAACUAAUAAAAAAAUUAAUAGUUCUGAGUUCUGAUACUUUAUAUGCAGACUUUUAGUUGCAGUCCGGCUGUUGAGAGAAAUUUAAAUUCCCCAGGAUGAAAGUGCUGACACUAAGCAACAAAACUCCACAACACAGCUUCCAGCAGAAAGAUGAAUUGCCAUUGUGCCCAUCCAUGUAUUGUCCUUCCUUUCCUACUGUAGAGUUUGGCAAGAGUUAGUUGAGCCCUCUAUUGGUUUUGAAAAAGGGCGUAUUCUCCACAAAUCCAAAGCAAAGUAGCUCCUGUAAGCUGAACAUUCACUAAUAGCAAAUGUAAUGAAACUAAGGAGACAAUGAAGAACUUUCCACAGGUCAGUGCUUUUUCCAAAUCCAGGGGCUUUUCUUCAUCUUCAAAGAACUUUUUUUUGGCAUGACUUUGGUUAGGAACUCUGAAAAUCAUAAAGAUGGUUUUCAGAUGGUUCAGAUGCUGGUUAAGCAUCUGAAAAUCAUUAAAUCAGUCCAAACCUGAAAGUCUAAGAACCAGACUAGAAAGAAAUGUUUUGGGAGGUAAAUUUAGGUAAGUUAGAUGACCUGCUUGUUUUUAUUUCUUCCCAGAGUUUUUUCUGGUGGAAAAUGACAGAAAGAAAUGAGACACUCAAGAAGUUGUUGAGACACACUGAUCCCCAAAACACUUUAGAUAUUUUGAUGUCUGGGGUAUUUUCUUCUGCCUUGCUGACAUGGCUGGAAAUCUGCAAAGGCAAAGUCCUACAUCUCUGUCAGGGGGAUGCAACAGUAGAAUAACAUCUCAGGUGGUACCAUGUCUGCAUAUCACUGUACACAUUCCAUCCACAGAAUCAUCCUGGUUGCCUCUAAAGAUUUAGCCCAUCACAAGGUGUUGGCAUCUCUCUUUGCAGUUGCUAGGUUGUUGUUAUAAGGCAGUUAAAAACAUAUUAAAUACUUUCCUAAAAUUAUUUUUCCAUGCAGGCAAUUGCUGUAUUUGGCACAAAGAUAUUAUACAAUCAUUAAUGGGAAGUGAAACUGAGCCAGUUUCUCUUCAAAGUGUGGCCAGCCCUACAGGACAACUUCAGAACUCCUGCUUCUACUAUGUUUAGUUGUGUGUGUUUAGAAACUGCUUUGGUGUUAUUCACCUCCUGACACUGACACUUUUGCUGUGCAUAGCUGAGAUUCUUGCAUAAUUUAACAGACCCAUCUCAGGUGUCUCCCACUCUGUUCCCAGCGUUCAAGCUGUGUUCUCUGGAUUGUGGCACACAGUUUGUGGUACAUUACAUUUACUGAAGAGUUUACCAGACUUGCUUAUUUAGAAAAAAUUCUAGAAAACAGCUUUGGUGGGUUUUUUUUUCAAUCACAUCUAUUUGAUUUGCUCCAAAAAUACUUAGGACAGCUGUCUCCAGCCAAGUUUAUUUCCUUGAUUUUUCCCUGAUAUGAGUAUGUAAAUAAUAUCCUAUUUUUCAUCUCAAAUUCCAACACUGUUGGUGAAAGUGAAAUAAAUAGUCAUAGA